rnacentral:lncRNA from 1 species
CACCUGUGGCAUAUGGAGGUUCCCAGGUUAGGGUCAAAUGGGAGCCAUAGCCAUUUGCACAGACACAGCCACAGCCAUGCAGGAUCUGAGCCCCAUUUGCAACCUAUACCACAGCUCACAGUAAUGCCAGAUCUUACCCACUGAGUGAAGCCCGGGAUUGAACCUGCAUCCUCAUGGAUACUAGUUAGAUCCAUUACCACUGAGCCAUGAUGGGAACACUCCCCUGGGGUCUUUUAUGGCCACUCUUUCCUCUCUUCUCAGUUCUGCGGCAGUUCAGCUGGUUAAAUGACAUGUGUAAGAUCACAAGACUGCUGAGGAAGAUGAGCCAAUGCUCAAAAGCCACCUUUGUGAAUAACACAGAGAAGCCUAUUGUGAGUGCUCCAAUGAAGGGGGAAUCAGGCCAGGUGUGCCCCACAGUUGACGACUGAGCUGCCCGUGAGGCCCCAUGAGUCUCCCAAGUUUUCCAGAUGAGGAGCCUGAGACUCAAAAACUGUGAGAAACUUUUUCAAGGUCAAACAAAUACUUGAUGUAUUUAUGUUUCUGGGAAAUAAAGGCAAAGAAGAAGGAAGGACAGGAUAAAUAUUUGCAAGGGAGAGUCUAUUGCAGAGAACAUUUGGUGACUGAAGGGCCCUGGGGACUCCAUUUUAGUGUGAUCAUUUUCUCUGAGAGGAAGCAGAUCCCUGUCUGCAUUUGUGAUAUUUUCUAGUUUGUAAAGUGGAUGCAUUUUUCUCCUCCAGGGGCCCUGUUCUUCAGGUUUUCUUGGUAUAGGGAUGUCUGGUUAUUUUUGGCUUGUGAAUACCAGUAACACAGAGGGCAUCCUCCCCCUUGACCAGCUGUGCUCUCAUUUCCUCUAAAAGGCUGGCAGUGUGAGGACAGUUUUGGACUUGCCUGUCAGAGAAAGGAUUUUUGUCAUCAAUCUUCCUCUGCCUGUGGAGAAGGGUGGUGCGAGAAACUGCUGUCUGCAAAAAUUGCUUUUAAGGUGGGGAAAGAUUGUUUACAUGUUCCCUUUCUUAGAGACUGGCACUCACAGAGGUCUGUGAUAGGCAUGGGUUAGACUGAGAUGUGGACUAGGAAUAGCCUGUCACAGCAUCCUUGCAGGAACUUCAGGCAGACCUUUCUCCUGCCCCCCUAACCCCAGGCCAUACUUCUGGCCCCAGCAGUUUCUUAGCCUCCUUCUUUUCAUCUAAGCCAAGGUCAUGAGGUGAAUCUUGUUCCCCACUUUGGUACUUUCCUGGCACAGCUAAAUAUGGCACAGUCUUCAAGACUUCCAUUUCCACGCCAUACCCAGAGACCAGCUGCCAGGUCUUUUUAAGAGGUACCAAUUUUAGCGAUAAGACCAUAGCCUGUGGGUUCCCAUCCCAGCUCUAUCUUUUCCUACUCAUGUGACCUUGGGCACGUUCUUCCAACUCCGUGUGUCUAAGUUUCCUUGUGCAUCAAGUGGGGCUGGGGAUGGUCGCAUCUUCCUCCUAGGGGCCACAGGAAGAUUAAAGUAGUUAAUAUUGAUAAAGUUCUUAUAAGAGUGCAUGGUAUUUAUCAAGUAUUAUGUAAGUGUUUCUUAGGCUAAAAAAUGUAACAUUUAAUUUCUGAGGAUGAGUAGAGGUAGGUAGCAAAACUGAGCACUUUGCCCAGCUGGGGGGUCUGGGUUGUGUUCUUGUUGGCUCUCCCUAGCACUUCCGUUCUGUAAUCUACCCUGUUUUAUUGAAAGGAUCUCUGUUUCUGACUAACUGCAGGCUCUCUGAGUGCAGAGUUCUGUUUAUCCUAUUUAUUACUUCACCCUCACUGCCUGCAACUGCAUAAUUAGUUUCAGUCCUUACUGUUUCAGUGUCCUAUCUACAAGGCAGAUUCACUUUGGGAAAAGGAAAUGAAAGACGGAUGGAAAGUCUGACCCCUGAGUUUUGUUUUAAAUUUGGGACCUCUUCUAAUAGAAAAGCUGGGGGUGCAUCUUCUAGGCAGAACCGCCGACCCCGUCAUGAGCGAUACAGCCAUCCAGUAAGAAAAACAGAAGACACGAGACCCUCCAGACAGGUCCUGUGUCCAUUUCCAGAGGAUAGCUCCUGCCUGGGGACCAUCAUCCCCAUUCAGCCUUUCCUUCUGUUACCUGUAGUGAUUUCAAAGGAGGAUGGAUCAAGGCUGUUCAAAAACCUUCCACAACUUGUCCAGGGACCACUGAGGUGGAACUGAAGACUUUGGAAAAGGUCCAGUUUAUUUUGAGGAAACUUGAGUCUAAGAGAUCUGGAGCUGCCUAGAGCUGCCUAAUUUCCCUGGGGAAAGUUCUGGCAUGUGUUACACCACUGGUAAGACCAAAUGCCUAGGGCGGUUUGGCAUGGCCAAGAAGAAAUGUGCUCAACGGGAGAGAAACGCGUUGUCAGAACUAUCCACACUGGGAAAGUUAUACUAGAAAUUUACAGUAAAUGACUUGGUAUAUAACUGCUCAUAUUGUAAAUACAGAAAGGGAAGCUUCACAAAGGGAAGUGUGAAACGUAAUUGUCAUUAACAGUAAUAAGGAAUAAUAGCUUUAAAAGACCAAAGAUACUUGAGGGAUAUGUGUUUGUGUGUGUAUGUGUGCAUGCGUGUGUGUGUAUUAGCCAUGCACAUAUGUGUGUGUGUGUGUAUUUGCAUUUCCAUGUACAGAAAAGUAUGUUUUAUAGGAAAAGUGUCACCUCAAACAAAGGCUAAUCAUUGAUUUCAGUAUGGAUGGACUCCUUUCAGGCUCCUCUUACCCAUUUGUCCCAGGACUAGAGAAACUUGUGGCACUCACCAUGCUUUGAUUCCAGAACAUUCCAUAAGUACUGCAGAAAGAGCAUAGACUUUGCAGUCAGGCUGACUUGAACUCACAUUCUAGCUAUUCCAUUUACCAGAUGUGUGAUCUGAGACCAGUUAACAUCUAUCAAUUGCAGGUUUUUAGCUACAGUAACUAGGGUAUAAUUAAAAGAUCAAGCUCUCAGGGUAGCUGGAAGAACCAAAUGAGAAAAGAUCUCUUAAAUCACAUACCUCAAGGCUUAUCAUUUAGCAGGAUCUACUAAAUAUUUACUGGAUCCUUUCACUGGUGGUGGGGCAGACAUCCUAGAACAAUGGCAGUAGCCUAUGUGCUCUUGGUAAGAGUGAGAAUCUAGACUGGUCCUCUUUCAUUAUGCUUUAGGAUACAUUUCACUAGACUCUUCAUAACACAGACAACAGAGUACCCUUAAGAUGAAUAGACUGCCUUUAGAGCUGCUACCAUAGUUACUUUAUGUUUUAUCUUACAAAAGACCUUUCAUAUAGAAGAAAGCCAAUAAGUAUUUGUGGAAUGAAUUAAUUAAAAACUAACAAGCCUGAAUCCUCAAUUAACAAUGUGCUGUUAUUGUAUUUUCCUACACUCCACUGAGGAGGAAAAAAAAAAAAAAAAACCCAAACAAACAAAUGACAAGCUAAUAUUGGAAUUUAAGGGAAUCUAAUUGUUCUUGAGCAUGUGCGUUAAUUCCUUCGGUAUUUUCGAGGGUAAAGAUUAAAUAGAAUACAGAUUUUCUAUUUAUUCUGUACCUAUGUCUUCCAUCCUAGAUUAUAAGACUCUGUCUUCAAACAGGAUAUUCAAUUACUAUAAAUAAAACACAUUUAGUGGCAUGGGAGGCCAUUGUCAAAGGGAAGAUAGGAGAAUGAACAUCGGCUUGGUACUUAGACAUCUAAGGUCUUGUACACCAGUUAGCUGUAUGAACUUGGGUAAGUCACUUCCUUCUCUGAGCCAGUUUUCCCCUUGGUAUAAUGAGAAAAUUGAUUAUCUUCAAAAUAUUUUCCAGCUCUAAAAUCUUUGAGUAUGAGGCUAGAAAUUUGGUUGCGAUGCUUUAGAAACACUUGCAAAGUGUUUGUUAUAGUACUUGAUAAUAUACAUGGAAAUGAUGUAUUUAUGUAUCUGUGUGUUUCACUAGACUGUAAAUUUCUUUAGGGUCUGGCUUAGAGCCUAGAAAAGAGUAAAUUUCAAAGGAGUAAUUGAUUUUCAUUAAUUUUUGUUUAGUUGGCUUGUUUUUUGCUUUUUAGGGCCACAUCCACGGCAUACGGAAGUUCCCAGGCUAGGGGGUCUAAUCAGAGCUGUAGCCAAUGGCCUUUGCCACAGCCACAGCCACAGCAAUGCAGUAUCUGAGCUGCAUCUGGGACCUACACCACAGCUCACCACAACACCGGACCUUAACCCACUGAGAGAGGCCAGGGAUCAAAACUGCGUCCUCAUGGAUGCUAGUCAGAUUCGUUAAGCACUGAGCCAUGACGGGAACUCAUGAUGUUCAUUAAUUAUACUGAUCAAAUAUCAGAAGAAAUUUCCAAAUUGGAAUUGUGAUUUAGUAUAUCUUUUAAAAAAUGGCAGCUAAGGAUAAUUUUCAAAUGUCCUUAGAUCCUAUUACUUUAAAUGCACUUCAGGUAAAUGUAGUGACCUAGAGAGUUAAAUAAUUAAACAUAUUUUGGUCUGCCAUUUUUCAAAGAGCAUAAAUGUUCUCUGCUAAAAGGAGCCCUUUUCUUCCUCACAUCAGUCAUGUGGUGUACAUGAUCCUCUGCCUUUGAAUUUGCUGCCGUCGACAUUUUUAUCUGUGGCUCCGCCACAGAUACAGUCGACAGCUCAUCAAAUGCAAGGGUGACAGGAAUCUAGAAAGGAGCACACACCCCGCUUCGGACCGAAUCAUGAUCCAAAGAGAUAUUAACAGGCUGCAAUGAUAAGACAGUUUCAUUCUCACAAAAUGCAGCUUAACAAGGAUGAAUGUUCUACCCAGAGAUCU